UACGUAGGCAGCGAGCGUUGUUCGGAGUUACUGGGCGUAAAGGGUGCGUAGGUCGGCUCUAUAAGUAUGGUGUGAAAUCUCCCGGCUUAACUGGGAGGUGCGCUAUAAGAGCUGUGGGGCUAGAGUGUGGGAGAGGAAAGUGGAAUUCCUGGUGUAGCGGUGAAAAUGCGUAGAUAUCAGGAGGAACACCGAGUGGCGAAGGCAGGUCUCUGGGCAUUAACUGACGCUGAGGAGCGAAAGCAUGGGGGAGCGAACAGG
rnacentral:rRNA from 1 species